AUGGCUUCCAAAGGUGCAGGAGGCGGCGGCGGCGGCCAUGACGAGCCUCCUCAGCGGCCGAAGCAGCAGCUGCCGCGCGACUCCCGCGGCUCGCUCGAGGUCUUCAACCCAUCCUCCUCCGCCGAGCCCCCCGCCGCGUUCCGCCCCGCCGCCUCGCCGUUCCGCCAGGACGACGACGACAACAUUGAGGAUGUCGACAGGGCGACGCAGCGGGCGGCGGAGUGGGGCCUCGUGCUCCAGACCAACGAGCACACGGGACGGCCCCAGGGCGUCUCCGCCCGCAGCUCCGGGGGUGGCUCCGCCCGCAGCAGCUCCGACGACAAGGCCGUCACCGGCGCCGGCAUCCCCCGGGUGUCGGAGGAGCUCCGGGCGGCGCUCUCGGCGUUCCAGCAGACGUUCGUCGUGUCGGACGCCAGCCGCCCCGGCCACCCCAUCAUGUACGCCAGCGCCGGCUUCUUCAACAUGACCGGCUACACUUCCAAGGAGGUCGUCGGAAGGAACUGCCGCUUCCUCCAGGGCUCCGGCACCGACCCGGCGGAGAUCGCAAAGAUCAGGCAGGCCCUAGCCGACGGAUCAAACUACUGCGGUCGUGUCCUCAACUACAAGAAGGAUGGCACGGCAUUCUGGAACCUCCUGACCAUUGCCCCCAUCAAGGAUGAGGAUGGCAGGGUCCUCAAGUUCAUAGGGAUGCAAGUGGAAGUGAGUAAAUACACCGAAGGGAACAAGGACACUGUUGUUCGUCCAAAUGGACUGCCAGAGUCACUCAUCAAAUAUGAUGCAAGGCAGAAGGACCAGGCCCGUAGCUCAGUGUCUGAGCUUCUGUUGGCUCUCAAGAACCCACGGUCAUUGUCAGAAUCAAGUAAUAGCACCUUCAAAAGAAAGUCACAGGAAUCAGUAGGCGUGUUAACGGGUGAUGGUACUGGCAAGAGGAGCUCAGAGAGUGGAUCUCGACGUACCUCACGCACUGGAGCAAGAAGCUCACUGCAGAAGAUCAGCGAAGUACCUGAAGGAGGCAAUAAAACUAGAAAAUCGGGUCUGUUUUCACUUAUGGGUUUACUUGGUAUGGGCCAUGCAAAUGUAGAAAAGAACAUGCUGAAACCAAGAGAUGAAGAUCCACUACUUGACAGUGAUGAUGAAAGACCUGAGAGCUUUGAUGAUGAGCUAAGGAGGAAGGAAAUGAGAAGGGGUAUAGACUUGGCUACUACACUUGAACGUAUCGAGAAGAACUUUGUCAUUACUGACCCAAGAUUGCCAGAUAAUCCUAUUGUAAGAUUCAUCCGGGACCUCCUGUACCUCUUACCCCACUCAUCUUUUCAUUCAUAUAGAUAUUAUUUUUUUCUUGAAUGGCCGUUAUUUUUUCAAUCGGUGUUUCAGAUAUUUGCAUCCGAUAGUUUCUUGCAAUUGACUGAAUACAGCCGUGAAGAAAUAUUGGGAAGAAACUGCAGGUUUCUCCAAGGUCCUGAAACUGAUUGUGCUACAGUGAGGAAAAUUAGAGAUGCCAUAGAUAACCAAACAGAGGUCACUGUUCAGCUGAUUAAUUAUACAAAGAGUGGUAAAAAGUUCUGGAACCUCUUUCACUUGCAGCCUAUGCGUGAUCAGAAGGGAGAUGUCCAGUAUUUUAUUGGGGUUCAGUUGGAUGGAACUGAGCAUGUCCGAGAUGCUGCCGAAAAAGAGGGUGUCAUGCUGAUUAAGAAAACUGCAGAAAAUAUUGACGAGGCUGCAAAAGAACUUCCAGAUGCUAAUUUGACGCCGGAGGACUUAUGGGCCAACCACUCAAAAGUAGUUUUGCCAAAGCCACAUAUGAAGGAUUCUGCGUCAUGGAGAGCCAUCCAAAAAGUUCGUGAGGGUGGAGAAAACAUUGAUCUGAAACAUUUCAGGCCUGUAAAACCUUUGGGGUCUGGUGACACCGGAAGUGUGCACUUGGUGGAGUUGCUAAACACAGGUGAAUACUUUGCCAUGAAAGCGAUGGAUAAAAAUGUCAUGCUUAAUCGCAAUAAGGUCCAUAGAGCUACUGCUGAACGACAAAUCCUUGAUAUGUUGGACCACCCAUUCCUUCCAACAUUGUAUGCAUCAUUUCAGACAAAGACACAUAUAUGUCUCAUUACAGAUUACUACCCUGGCGGGGAGCUCUUUCUGCUUCUAGAUAGGCAACCUCAGAAGGUUUUGCGGGAAGAUGCAGUCAGGUUCUAUGCAGCUGAAGUUGUCAUUGCACUUGAAUACUUGCAUUGUCAAGGUAUAAUCUACCGAGACUUGAAGCCAGAGAAUAUCUUACUUCAUAGAGACGGGCACAUAUCCCUGACAGACUUUGAUUUAUCUUGCCUGACAUCUUGCAGACCGCAGGUCUUUCUUCCAGAAGAAGGUAAUAAGAAAAGUAGGAGGAAAAGCAGGAGUUCACCCAUAUUUUUUGCAGAACCUAUGCGAGCAUCCAAUUCAUUUGUUGGUACAGAGGAGUACAUCGCACCUGAGAUUAUUACUGGAGCUGGCCAUACAAGUGCUGUUGAUUGGUGGGCGCUAGGGAUUCUUCUGUAUGAAAUGCUGUAUGGUUACACACCCUUCAGAGGUAAAACCAGGCAAAGGACCUUUGCCAACAUCCUACACAAGGACAUCAGAUUUCCCGCGAGCAUAUCGGUGAGCCUCCCGGCGAGGCAGCUGAUCUACAGGUUGCUGCACCGGGAUCCUGCGAACAGAAUGGGAUCAUACGAGGGGUCAAACGAGAUAAAACAACACCCGUUCUUCCGCGGCAUCAACUGGGCCCUUGUGCACGGCACGGCUCCUCCAAAGAUGGACGCUCCACUGUUGUCAGACGACGUGGACAAGGGAAUGGGCGAUGCUGCUGCUGCCGCUGCUGAUAAUCACACCGACAUGUUCUGA
rnacentral:rRNA from 1 species